UCUCCCACCUUCCUCGGCGUCACGAUAGAAAGGGAAUGUUGGAGCCGCGUUUCUUAACUUGGACGGCUUUCAGCUAUGUGGACUUCAACUCCCAGAAUUUCCGGCUGGCUCGGAGGGGCAUUCUGGGAGUUGAAGUCCACGUACCUGAAAGUUGGUAAGGUCUCCGAGGCACGUUGCGUUGGAGUUAAACACAAGCGUUUUGCUUCCUGGUUCACGCCAGGGAUGGGGAAAGAGAAUCGGCGCUCAGGCGGAGUCAGGGGAAGGAAGGAACCAAACUUUUUCCAUACUAGGUCUUACACUUAUUUUCCCAGUGUUUCGUUUAGAGUUUAUUGUAGCCUUCCUUAAAACACGUGUGGUCAAUUGUUCACGAAAUAGUUUCCCUUGAAAUCUGUAUCCAGGUUAUUAUGUUUACUCAUAGUCUUCCGCUGAGUAAGCAUAGAUCAGUUCUCUAAAUGUUUACCCUAACCCAAAAUACUUCUCUUCUUCUGAUCCUCACUUGUAAUAAGGAACAUUAAUUAUAGAUUAGACGCAGACUGGGAGUACUAUGGAUAAUUUUGCCUGCCGAGAUUAUUGAUCAAAAUGUUCAGAGGAAAGCAUCAAAGGUUCAACCAGCAUUUUAAAAAAUGUUAAUAUACUGCUGCUGCUUCCAAAACACAAGCUGCUGAGUGCCUCCAAGCUUCAUCCCUGCGAACUCUUGUGCUGUCGAACAGCUGAUUGGGGCACCAGGUAACAAAAUGAAAACAUGUCUUCCAAAAGUCUAUCAGUGAGUUGUGGUAAUAGACAGUGUAUCUGUUCCUUUUGUGGUAACUAAAGGGAAAUUUCUGGGUCUUGCAAAUUGUCCAUAUAUUGUAUGUGUGCAUUUAAAUAAUAGCUUACAUUCCCUCUGUAAUUGUCAGAUAAUAGAAGAAUUAGAAUGACGGUCUCUUUAUUUUUUAACUAGUCAAAGUGAUUCAGAAUAUUGCAUUGGAACAUGAUUUCCUUUACAAAUUAUCUAAGCAGGCACCUAGCCAUAGCAGCUGAAAUAUUGUCAUACUAAUUUCAGUAACUGAGUAUUGGCCAAAUUGUAUAUUAAAUAGGAUUUUAAGAGCCAUUAUGACAAUGGAUAUUCAUUCAAUAAAUAGGCAUUUCUUGCUCCGCUUAAUGGGCAAAAAAAGCCUUCCAAAAUGAUGUUUUUCUACAUAAAAAUUAUUGCUCCUCCACUUCCCAAGCUGUAAUAUUUUGUUACUUUAAAACUAGCAUUUCAUCUAGCAAUCCAAUUGCAAUUAGCAUUUGUUUGCCAUUUUGUGAAAUUGUAUUUAUUGCUUCUAUUUCUCAUUAAAAGCU